GACAGAGGUCCCGAGCGUUAGGCGGAAUCACUGGGCUUAAAGCGUGUGUAGGCGGAUUUGUAAGUACCUUGUGAAAUCCCACGGCUUAACCGUGGAACUGCUUGGUAUACUGCUUAUCUUGGGCCAUCUAGGGGCGAGCGGAACAAACGGUGGAGCGGUGAAAUGCGUAGAUAUCGUUUGGAACGCCAAUGGUGAAAACAGCUCGCUGGG
rnacentral:rRNA from 1 species